GGGUGCCGAACAAGCUCUGCGUGUCCUUGAAUUCAACAAUACGGAACACUUUCUUGUGAUCAAUUUUUGGAUGAGAAGCUACUAUUUCAUGAAAAACGGUGAUAAAUAUCAGCUGUCAUACACCGGAACCACCAUCAAACCCGAUUUGAAUCACUUUAUUCGGUUAGCAGGCUUGGAGAUGCAAUAUCGCUCCAUCGCAACCAUUUUUUCAGCGUAUACUUCAUCUGCGCUCCAGCGAACAGUCAGAGUGCGUUGAUCGUGUUUGGGGAUCAGUCGAAACCGCGAGUUUUAAAGUCGAAAAAAUCGAAGAGGGAAGCAGCGCUGAUUGAUGAGAAUUCGGGGAAGAAGCUGAAAAAGUGCCAGAAAAUUCGGACGAAAAGAGCGGCGGCGGUGAAUAACUCGACGGAGUGGACACAGACGCUGAAGGAUACUCGGAGACUUAAACAACGUAGCGA
rnacentral:sRNA from 1 species